rnacentral:rRNA from 1 species
UACGUAGGGACCAAGCGUUGUUCGGAUUUACUGGGCGUAAAGGGCGCGUAGGCGGCGUGGUAAGUCACUUGUGAAAUCUCCGAGCUUAACUCGGAACGGUCAAGUGAUACUGCUGUGCUAGAGUGCAGAAAGGGCAAUCGGAAUUCUUGGUGUAGCGGUGAAAUGCGUAGAUAUCAGGAGGAACACCGGUGGCGAAGGCGGGUCUCUGGGCAGUAACUGACGCUGAGGAGCGAAAGCGUGGGGAGCGAACAGG